AACGCGAAGAACCUUACCUACCCUUGACAUGUGCGGAAUCCUCCAGAGAUGGAGGAGUGCCCGAAAGGGAACCGCAACACAGGUGCUGCAUGGCUGUCGUCAGCUCGUGUCGUGAGAUGUUGGGUUAAGUCCCGCAACGAGCGCAACCCUUGCCACUAGUUGCUACAUUCAGUUGAGCACUCUAAUGGGACUGCCGGUGACAAACCGGAGGAAGGUGGGGAUGACGUCAAGUCCUCAUGGCCCUUAUGGGUAGGGCUACACACGUCAUACAAUGGCGCGUACAGAGGGUUGCCAACCCGCGAGGGGGAGCCAAUCCCAGAAAGCGCGUCGUAGUCCGGAUUGAAGUCUGCAACUCGACUUCAUGAAGUCGGAAUCGCUAGUAAUCGCGGAUCAGCAUGUCGCGGUGAAUACGUUCCCGGGCCUUGUACACACCGCACGA
rnacentral:rRNA from 1 species